CAUCUCUUCCGCCUUCUAUUUAUUUGGAAGGUUCGGUGGCGAGCCGGAGGCGAUGCCCAUUGCCGGGCCUCUGCCUGAACGCUCGCCCAUCCUUUCCCGUGCCGUCGAUGGCUGCUUGAACCUCAAUUCCGUCGGAGAAAUGAAGCUAUUGCAGUGGGAACUAGUGGUGUGUUACAAUGGGAAAGCCCCAUGGCUGCAUAUUAAUUCCAGGCAGGUUCAUUGAGGAUGGAAAGGAAGCCCAUGCUGCUGGUGCUGGACAAGUCUUGGGGGAUUGGGGCAGGUAGAACCAGCAGCAGUUGGGGCACAAAUGCAAGUAAGGAUAACUUGGUGAGCAUAACAGCUAAAAGAUUGUUUAAAGUGGAAGCUGUCAAAAACAAAUCAGUUGAUGUUUAAUCUUUUGAUAUGUGAACUGCAUCUCUCCUAUCCUUUUUCAUA